UACGGAGGGUGCAAGCGUUAAUCGGAAUUACUGGGCGUAAAGCGCACGCAGGCGGUUUGUUAAGUCAGAUGUGAAAUCCCUGGGCUCAACCUGGGAACUGCAUCUGAUACUGGCAAGCUUGAGUCUCGUAGAGGGGGGUAGAAUUCCAGGUGUAGCGGUGAAAUGCGUAGAGAUCUGGAGGAAUACCGAUGGCGAAGGCAGCCUCCUGGGAUAACACUGACGUUCAUGCCCGAAAGCGUGGGUAGCAAACAGGAUUAGAUACCCUGGUAGUCCACGCCCUAAACGAUGUCGAUUAGCUGUUGGGCAGCAUGACUGCUUAGUAGCGAAGCUAACGCGUGAAAUCGACCGCCUGGGGAGUACGGUCGCAAGAUUAAAACUC
rnacentral:rRNA from 1 species